AUGAACGCUGGCGGCGUGCCUAAUACAUGCAAGUCGAGCGAACAGACGAGGAGCUUGCUCCUCUGACGUUAGCGGCGGACGGGUGAGUAACACGUGGAUAACCUACCUAUAAGACUGGGAUAACUUCGGGAAACCGGAGCUAAUACCGGAUAAUAUAUUGAACCGCAUGGUUCAAUAGUGAAAGACGGUUUUGUUGUCACUUAUAGAUGGAUCCGCGCCGCAUUAGCUAGUUGGUAAGGUAACGGCUUACCAAGGCAACGAUGCGUAGCCGACCUGAGAGGGUGAUCGGCCACACUGGAACUGAGACACGGUCCAGACUCCUACGGGAGGCAGCAGUAGGGAAUCUUCCGCAAUGGGCGAAAGCUUGACGGAGCAACGCCGCGUGAGUGAUGAAGGUCUUCGGAUCGUAAAACUCUGUUAUUAGGGAAGAACAAAUGUGUAAGUAACUAUGCACGUCUUGACGGUACCUAAUCAGAAAGCCACGGCUAACUACGUG
rnacentral:rRNA from 1 species